UACAGAGGGUGCGAGCGUUGUUCGGAAUUAUUGGGCGUAAAGAGCUCGUAGGCGGUUUGUCGCGUCGGCCGUGAAAUCUCCACGCUUAACGUGGAGCGUGCGGUCGAUACGGGCAGACUUGAGUUCGGUAGGGGAGACUGGAAUUCCUGGUGUAGCGGUGAAAUGCGCAGAUAUCGGGAAGAACACCCGUGGCUAAGGCGGCUCUCUAGUACGGUACUGACGCUGAGACGCGAAAGCGUGGGGAGCGAACAGG
rnacentral:rRNA from 1 species